rnacentral:rRNA from 1 species
ACCUCAAAUCAGGUAGGAUUACCCGCUGAACUUAAGCAUAUCAAUAAGCGGAGGAA